rnacentral:rRNA from 1 species
GACGAACGCCGGCGGCGUGCCUAAUACAUGCAAGUUGAGCGCUGAAGGUUGGUACUUGUACCAACUGGAUGAGCAGCGAACGGGUGAGUAACGCGUGGGGAAUCUGCCUUUGAGCGGGGGACAACAUUUGGAAACGAAUGCUAAUACCGCAUAAAAACUUUAAACACAAGUUUUAAGUUUGAAAGAUGCAAUUGCAACACUCAAAGAUGAUCCCGCGUUGUAUUAGCUAGUUGGUGAGGUAAAGGCUCACCAAGGCGAUGAUACAUAGCCGACCUGAGAGGGUGAUCGGCCACAUUGGGACUGAGACACGGCCCAAACUCCUACGGGAGGCAGCAGUAGGGAAUCUUCGGCAAUGGACGAAAGUCUGACCGAGCAACGCCGCGUGAGUGAAGAAGGUUUUCGGAUCGUAAAACUCUGUUGGUAGAGAAGAACGUUGGUGAGAGUGGAAAGCUCAUCAAGUGACGGUAACUACCCAGAAAGGGACGGCUAACUACGUG